ensembl:lncRNA
GUGUUCUAUACAGAGACGCUAGAACUGCAUUUAUGAACAUGCAUACAUUCAUUAUUUGAAAUAAUUAUAGAAAGACGGUUAUAGGGCAUUUUGCUAACUAUGGAUUUAAUUCUCUGAAAUAGACUCAAUGAUUGGAAGAAACAGUAAGGAUUUAUUUUUUUUUUAACUCUGCUUGAGGAUGUAGGCCUAUAUGGAUUUACCCCACCUUCCAAUCAACAUCUCUUACUUGAUGACAACAGCUGAAAAGAUAAGAGAAAUGGAGGCAUACUUUCAUUAUUGCGUCGGCAGAUAAGAGCGUGAUUUAAUGGCUUGACCCUUAACCUCAGACAUAUGCAGUGCCGCUUCAUCUCUCUGCUCCAUCUUUAUCAGUCAGAGCUCAGCUGCUCUCACAAGACUGCCAGCUCAGAGAGGACCCGGAGGUUGAGCUGUGCACGCUGUCCUAUUAGCUGUCAGAGAUCUGGCUGAUCACCCUCUCAGCGCUGGAUGAUGUUGUGCUUAUGAAUAAAGGUCAGAGGUUGACUGCCUCCUGCCACCUGCACACCUUCUGCUAGAGUGUCAGCUCAGAGUCUCAAACGGUGACAGAAUGAUGCUGACG